rnacentral:rRNA from 1 species
GUAGGGGGCAAGCGUUAUCCGGAUUUACUGGGUGUAAAGGGAGCGUAGACGGCGCUGCAAGUCUGAAGUGAAAGCCCGGGGCUCAACCCCGGGACUGCUUUGGAAACUGUAAUGCUAGAGUGCUGGAGAGGUAAGUGGAAUUCCUAGUGUAGCGGUGAAAUGCGUAGAUAUUGGGAGGAACACCAGUGGCGAAGGCGGCUUACUGGACAGUAACUGACGUUGAGGCUCGAAAGCGUGGGGAGCAAACAGGAUUAGAUACCCUGGUAGUCCACGCGGUAAACGAUGAAUGCUAGGUGUUGGGGAGCAAAGCUCUUCGGUGCCGUCGCAAACGCAAUAAGCAUUCCACCUGGGGAGUACGUUCGCAAGAAUGAAACUCAAAGGAAUUGACGG